AGAGCUCACGUGUUUGACUCCAAUGCCAUAUCAUCCUGGAGCUUGCUGGAAUUUCUCUAACUAUCAACAUUUUGGUGGGAAUAAAAAUGCAUCCAGUGGAGCCCAGGAAAGUGUCCCAAGCACAACACCACCAAGGUAUUCUACAUUGACCAUAAGAAGAGAAAGUAUAACUCUGCACUUUCCUCUCAUGUCCAGCCCAUUCCUUUUUUCUCUCAAUGUAACCAUUUCAUUUUGUAAGAGUUGGAAAUGAAAUUUCACAUUGUGUUAAGAUUGAGACCCUUUCAUGUGUAUGUGCCAAAUAAUUCUCUGUGAGAGGGUAGGUGGAGAGGAAGAUUAGGAACUGUCAACUUCUCUUCCUUUUGCUUGUUGUCUUUUAAUGGUUUUAUUUUCUUCUGGUUUAAUGCUUUGCAUGUGGGUCUUUCGUGUUUUGCUCCAAUGAGUGAGAGUGAAAAAGAGAAAUAGGGAA
rnacentral:lncRNA from 1 species